rnacentral:tRNA from 1 species
GGCCGGUUAGUUCAGUCAGUUGAACGUGGCACUAACAAUGCCAAGGUUGCGGGUUCGAUUCCCAUUCGGUCC